UACGAAGGGGGCUAGCGUUGUUCGGAAUCACUGGGCGUAAAGCGCACGUAGGCGGAUCUUUAAGUCAGAGGUGAAAUCCCAAGGCUCAACCUUGGAACUGCCUUUGAUACUGGGGAUCUCGAGUUCGGGAGAGGUGAGUGGAACUGCGAGUGUAGAGGUGAAAUUCGUAGAUAUUCGCAAGAACACCAGUGGCGAAGGCGGCUCACUGGCCCGAUACUGACACUGAGGCACGAAAGCGUGGGGAGCAAACAGG
rnacentral:rRNA from 1 species